UACGUAGGGCGCAAGCGUUAUCUGGAAUUAUUGGGCGUAAAGAGCUCGUAGGCGGUUUGUCGCGUCUGCCGUGAAAAGUCCGGGGCUCAACUCCGGAUCUGCGGUGGGUACGGGCAGACUAGAGUGAUGUAGGGGAGACUGGAAUUCCUGAUGUAGCGGUGAAAUGCGCAGAUAUCAGGAGGAACACCGAUGGCGAAGGCAGGUCUCUGGGCAUUAACUGACGCUGAGGAGCGAAAGCAUGGGGAGCGAACAGGA
rnacentral:rRNA from 1 species